rnacentral:scRNA from 1 species
GGUAAACCCGUCCCCACAGUCACGAUGGUGGU